AGCAGCCGCGGUAAUUCCGGCUCCAAUAGCGUAUAUUAAAGUUGUUGCAGUUAAAAAGCUCGUAGUUGAAUUUCGGGAUCAAUAUGUCGGUCGUGCCUUCGGUACGUACUGGUAUCAUUGGUCUCUCCUUUCUGACGAACCAUGAUGUCAUUAAUUUGGUGUUUUGGGGAAUUUGGACUGUUACUUUGAAAAAUUAGAGUGUUUAAAGCAAGCUAACGCUUGAAUACAUUAGCAUGGAAUAAUGAAAUAGGACGUUCGAUCCUAUUUUGUUGGUUUCUAGGAUUGACGUAAUGAUUAAUAGGGAUAGUUGGGGGCAUUAGUAUUCAAUUGUCAGAGGUGAAAUUCUUGGAUUUAUUGAAGACUAACUACUGCGAAAGCAUUUGCCAAGGAUGUUUUCAUUAAUCAAGAACGAAAGUUAGGGGAUCGAAGACGAUCAGAUACCGUCGUAGUCUUAACCAUAAACUAUGCCGACUAGGGAUCGGAUGAUGUUAAUUUUU
rnacentral:rRNA from 1 species